rnacentral:tRNA from 1 species
GGGGGAUUAGCUCAGUUGGCCAGAGCACCUGCCCUGCAAGCAGGGGGCCAAGGGUUCGACUCCCUUAUCCUCCA